CCUACGGGAGGCAGCAGUGAGGAAUAUUGGUCAAUGGGCGUAAGCCUUAACCAGCCAAGUCGCGUGAGGGAUGAAGGUUCUAUGGAUCGUAAACCUCUUUUAUAAGGGAAUAAAGUGCGGGACGUGUCCCGUUUUGUAUGUACCUUAUGAAUAAGGACCGGCUAACUCCGUGCCAGCAGUCGCGGUAAUACGUAGGUGGCAAGCGUUGUCCGGAUUUACUGGGUGUAAAGGGCGUGUAGCCGGGAAGGCAAGUCAGAUGUGAAAUCUGGAGGCUCAACCUCCAAAUUGCAUUUGAAACUGUUUUUCUUGAGUACUGGAGAGGCAGACGGAAUGCCUUGUGUAGCGGUGAAAUGCGUAGAUAUAAGGAGGAACACCAGUGGCGAAGGCGGUCUGCUGGACAGCAACUGACGGUGAGGCGCGAAAGCGUGGGGAGCAAACAGGAUUAGAUACCCCUGUAGUC
rnacentral:rRNA from 1 species